GUCUUUUUGAUUAUAAUUUAAAGUCUGACCUGCCCAAUGAGUAGUUAAAUGGCCGCGGUAAUUUGACCGUGCAAAGGUAGCAUAAUCAUUAGUUUUUUAAUUGAAAGCUGGAAUGAAUGGUUGGACGAGAAAAUAACUGUCUCAAUUUAAUUUAAUAUAGAACUUUAUUUAUAAGUAAAAAAGCUUAUAUAAUUUUAAAAGACGAGAAGACCCUAUAGAGUUUUACAUUUAAUUAUAUUAAUUAGGUUUAGUAUGUUUAUAUUUUUAAUAUAAUUGCAUGUUUUGCUGGGGCAGCAGAAAAAUUAAACAAACUUUUUUUAUUACUAUUACAUUGAUUUAUGGUUUAAUGAUCCAUUUUUUAUGAUUACAAGAUUAAAUUACCUUAGGGAUAACAGCGUAAUUUUUUUUUAGAGUUCUUAUCGAAAAAAGAGUUUGCGACCUCGAUGUUGGAUUAAAAUUAACUUUUGGUGUAGGGGCUAAAAGGUUAGGUCUGUUCGACCUUUAAAAUUUUACA
rnacentral:rRNA from 1 species